rnacentral:lncRNA from 1 species
UUUUCAAGGGUUGUGUCUUUUCCUUUUUCCUUUCUUUCUUUAUGUAUUUCAUUAUUUAUAAUUUUUGAUUAGUUGCUCUUCCCUUUUGCACUGUUGCUGUGCUAGACCCAUAUCAGUAUCUCGAUAAGUAUAAUUAAUAAAUGAUUUGCAUUCAGCUUUCUACGAAACACAACUCUCUAUUACCUGCAUUUUCUUACAUUUAAGGUAAAGGAACACUUAAUUACAGUGACCUCUGAACACACUACUGGAUUAUAAAUAGUCAUCUGAAGCAUCAUACAAUGAUAAAAUUAUGUUCAUGAGGAUCUUGAACUGCAGAUUAGUGUCCCCACCUGUUGGCUGAGCUGACCAGCUCUAUCGAAAGGUCUUACGGACACCUCAAUUACAUCAUGUGCAAAAUUAAAUUAUUUCUCUUCUUCUACCCAACAUUUCUCUUCAGUGCCCAAACAUCCCAACUAGACACCAAGGUGUCACCCACAAUUUUUUUUUUUCUCACUCACCUUCCAUAUGGUCUCUGAGAAUGGAUACUCUGUAUCCAUACUAACUGCUAACUAUAUUUCAGUUCCAUCCCCUCCUUUAUGUGCUUUAAUUCCUUCACUCAAAAGAUUUUGACACUUUUGUUAUAAGUUACCAGUCUCUCAUCACUGUCAUUCUUCCUCCCAGGUACCCAAAGUUUCUUUCUGGAAUAGAAACCAUUCACUUCUUGAAGACUGCUGACAGCAGCUUCUGUAUUAAAGUAGUAUUUUCUACUGUGGGACCCAUUGAACCCUAAGAAUACUGUGAAAAGGGAAAAGGCAAAGAGGUUUAGAGCAAGUUCUUAGGAAUUAAUAAUGCAAAGCUGCAUAUUAAAGGCUCUGAGGUCUUGUAGGAAAGAAACCCUUGUUAAAGCCUAACACAGUGUUCCCUAUAUUUUGUUUGAUCUUCGACCCCCCUGUUUUCUCGUACAACACCAACUCACAUCUCAAGGCACCAGUGUUCUAAGCAUAACCUGAGAAAAUACCAUCCAGCCUGAUGAAUGAAUAGCAGUGCCCACCCUCCUCCAGCAGACACCAAUCACACCAUGUUUAUAACUAUUCCCAAGGCGAUAACAUACUAUUUGUUUUAUCAAGUUAAAAUGAAGUUCCCUCAAAAUAGAAAGUGUUUCCCCCAACUUUUCAAUCUGAAGAACUCUUACUAACAAUUUCAAGACCCAACUCAAGCAUUACCACCUCUUUAAAGUCUUCCUCAAAUCCUCUGCUGUUAUUGGUCCUCGUUCUGAUGCGACAUGGACACGUUCCUAAAGCCACCUUCCCUACCAGACUGCUAGACCCUUUUAUCUUGGUAUCUGGAGUCCAUAGCACAAUAUCCAGCAUGGAGCAGUAACUCAACAAAUGUCGACCAAAGGUGUAUUUCAUUGUAUUCUAACUCAGUACCUUACAGGUAGUAGGUGUCAAUGCAUAUUUAUUAUACAAUUUCUUGAGAGAGGUCAAAUUGACUUUAAAGAAAUGUCACCUGGAUGGCUGCAGCUGAGAUAAAGGGAUUUUCCAAAAGGAGAGGCAUCUAUAGUUCUGGUCUAUCUAGAGAGGCUAGAUUCAAUCAGCCACCUGAUUAUUUCUUCUCACCCCCAAAUUCCUGAGCACCUCCUGUAUUGUGAGCGCCUCAUGAGAAUAAACAAUCUUCCCCCAAAGAGGAAGAGAUAUAUUUUCCAGCCACUAAUAUAGUUCAUCAUGGGGAUGGCACUAGUGUGCACAAGGCACAGUGUUGAACGCCUGCUGAGGGACUGUCCUCAUCCAGACACGAGGUACCCAGUGGUUCCAAGAGUUCUAGUAACUUCCUAACUCCUUACUGGUGAGAAAGGAUCCACUGAGAAACAGUCUAGCUCUAUACCACUCUGACCAAGGUAAUCUUCAAAGAGUUGUGUCAAACGUUUUUAAUGAUGAGGCAAAUCGGUUUUCCAGCAGAGCUAUCUAUUUCAUCUCUUCCCACCCCCUUUUCCACAUCUAUCAGAGGAGGAUAAAUGAAGUAGCAUUUGAAAACUUUUAACACCUUGCUUGCCGCCCAGCAGGUAAUCAAUAAAAAACAUGUUACGUUUGAUUCUGCUUUCUCCUACAUGUUAGUUUAUAAAAAUAAAAAGAGGAACCACUUACAUGAAACUAAUAACCAACUCAAAAAUCUGCUACUAAGUAUAUUUUGGACAGAUCUAUUUGUCGCUGCUAUUUUCCAUAUUAAAUUAAAAUUAAGACACUCUCAAAAAAAAGCCUUCCUCAUUCAGCAGAAUAGUUUUCAUAAUUAGUGGUUAACGAAUCCAACUAGGAACCAUGAGAUUGAGGGUUCGAUCCCUGGCCUUGCUCAGUGGGUUAAGGAUCUGGCGUUGCCGUGAGCUGUGGUGUAGGUCACAGACAUGGCUCGGAUCUGGUGUUGCUGUGGCUCUGGUGUAGGCUUGGCAGCUACAGCUCCAGUUAGACCCCUAGCCUGGGAAUCUCCAUUUGCCACUGGAGUGGCCCUAGAAAAGGC